rnacentral:rRNA from 1 species
UACGUAGGUGGCUAGCGUUGUCCGGAUUUACUGGGCGUAAAGCGUGCGUAGGUGGUUUGUUAAGUCUGAUGUGAAAGCCCUGGGCUCAACCUGGGAAUGGCAUUGGAUACUGGCGAGCUAGAGUGCGGUAGAGGGUAGUGGAAUUCCCGGUGUAGCAGUGAAAUGCGUAGAGAUCGGGAGGAACAUCUGUGGCGAAGGCGACUACCUGGACCAGCACUGACACUGAGGCACGAAAGCGUGGGGAGCAAACAGG